AACGAACGCUGGCGGCAGGCUUAACACAUGCAAGUCGAGCGCCCCGCAAGGGGAGCGGCAGACGGGUGAGUAACACGUGGGAAUCUACCCAUCCCUACGGAACAACUCCGGGAAACUGGAGCUAAUACCGUAUACGCCCUUCGGGGGAAAGAUUUAUCGGGGAUGGAUGAGCCCGCGUUGGAUUAGCUAGUUGGUGGGGUAAAGGCCUACCAAGGCGACGAUCCAUAGCUGGUCUGAGAGGAUGAUCAGUCACAUUGGGACUGAGACACGGCCCAAACUCCUACGGGAGGCAGCAGUGGGGAAUAUUGGACAAUGGGCGCAAGCCUGAUCCAGCCAUGCCGCGUGAGUGAUGAAGGCCUUAGGGUUGUAAAGCUCUUUCACCGAUGAAGAUAAUGACGGUAGUCGGAGAAGAAGCCCCGGCUAACUUCGUGCCAGCAGCCGCCGUAA
rnacentral:rRNA from 1 species